UGGAUUUACUAUUGUAAGUCGCUCUGGAUAAGAGUGUCUGCUAAAUUACUAAAA
rfam:Salmo salar isolate Sally breed double haploid chromosome ssa01, whole genome shotgun sequence.